rnacentral:lncRNA from 12 species
GACGAAAAAAACAAAGAGCAACAAAAAUUUAGCAUCACAUAGUAAGCUAUACACACUGUGCAUGCACUCAGAUUGUAGGAGAUGCUCCCCCCAAGACGGGCCCCUGGCAUCUUAUCUCUUAAGGAGAUAACUCGAAUUCCCCACUGCCUGCAUCACUCUCAGGAAUCGAAACUGUUUUUAUUGGCUGUUAAACUAGGAUAGUAAUUGGUUUAUAUCCUCACCUAGGAUUUUAAGGUAAUUGGUUAGUUUGUAAUGUAUAGGCUUUUAUUGGUUAGUUUUUGAAUCCCCCCAAAACCUAUAUAAGAUCUUUGUAUCCCUUUGUCUUCGGACUUCUGCGGCCAGUCUCCCUUCAGAUAAUAAAGCAUCUGGAAUGACCGGAGCCCGAGUCCCAAGUCCUUUUCUCCGCUAGCGUGUAACUGAGGUCUGCCACAGGCGUUCCCCCAACUAUCGGAGCUCCUGCGGCAGACUGCCCGGGGUGGAAAGGAAAUCCCCCCGGGAGAACAGUUACAGGCCUUCUUGGCAUCUUCCUAAAAUAUAAUUUAUUUUCUUCUGAGGGCAAGGCCAAUUUGUGCUCUCACGAGCUCUGAAAACCCUGAAAUCCUUUUCCAGCUUUAAUGAAAGUAACAAAGAAAUAGAAACCCCUGAUUUUUAAAUUUUUUUUAAGAAAGUUGCUCUUUCUAUAUAAUGAAUUAGACACAAGGAAUUAGCUAAGGCACCACAACUGUGAAGACUCAAAUUUCAUGUUGACUGUGGGAGAGUCUUCAUGCCACGAUCAUCACUGAGUUUAAGCUGGAGAUGUGUGGGCAUCCUGAGGACUGCAACAGAUUUUCAAGAGUUGCCUGAAGCAUACACAGAACUGAACUGGCACAGAGGUACAGUCACUUUUCAUUGAGAAAUUCCACUUAUGAAAACUGAGUCUGAAGGUGUGUUUUGAGCCAGACCCACAGGACAGAGCUUUUCUUUUAUCAUGACUGUUCCCCUGGUAAUGCAGACAUUUUCUUCACAGGAGAUUUCAUAAGGUGCAAUUGUCAGAAGGAAUUCUGCGGCCAGUCUCCCUUCAGAUAAUAAAGCAUCUGGAAUGACCGGAGCCCGAGUCCCAAGUCCUUUUCUCCGCUAGCGUGUAACUGAGGUCUGCCACAGGCGUUCCCUUAACUAUCGGAGCUCCUGCGGCAGACUGCCUGGGGUGGAAAGGAAAUCCCCCCGGGAGAAC